UGCAGUCGAACGAACCUUCGGGUGAGUGGCGGACGGGUGAGUAACGCGUGGGAAUCUGCCCUCAGGAGGGGGAUAACGGCUGGAAACGGCCGCUAAUACCCCAUAUGCCGAGAGGUGAAAUGAAUUUCGCCUGAGGAUGAGCCCGCGUCUGAUUAGCUAGUUGGUGAGGUAAGAGCUCACCAAGGCAUCGAUCAGUAGCUGGUCUGAGAGGAUGAUCAGCCACACUGGGACUGAGACACGGCCCAGACUCCUACGGGAGGCAGCAGUGGGGAAUUUUCCGCAAUGGGCGAAAGCCCGACGGAGCAACGCCGCGUGAGGGAUGAAGGCCUCUGGGCUGUAAACCUCUUUUCUCAAGGAAGAAGAUCUGACGGUACUUGAGGAAUAAGCCACGGCUAAUUCCGUGCCAGCAGCCGCGGUAAUACGGGAGUGGCAAGCGUUAUCCGGAAUUAUUGGGCGUAAAGCGUCCGCAGGCGGCCCUUCAAGUCUGCUGUUAAAACGUGGAGCUUAACUCCAUCAUGGCAGUGGAAACUGUUGGGCUUGAGUGUGGUAGGGGCAGAGGGAAUUCCCGGUGUAGCGGUGAAAUGCGUAGAUAUCGGAAAGAACACCAGUGGCGAAGGCGCUCUGCUGGGCCAUAACUGACGCUCAUGGACGAAAGCCAGGGGAGCGAAAGGGAUUAGAUACCCCUGUAGUCCUGGCCGUAAACGAUGAACACUAGGUGUCGGGGGGAAUCGACCCCCCUCGGUGUCGUAGCCAACGCGUUAAGUGUUCCGCCUGGGGAGUACGCACGCAAGUGUGAAACUCAAAGGAAUUGACGGGGGCCCGCACAAGCGGUGGAAUUAGUUGGUUUAAUUCGAUGCAACGCGAAGAACCUUACCAGGGUUUGACAUCCUGCGAACCUCUUGGAAACGAGAGGGUGCCUUCGGGAGCGCAGUGACAGGUGGUGCAUGGCUGUCGUCAGCUC
rnacentral:rRNA from 1 species